UAGCAUUCCUGGAAGAGUUACAUCUCUAACCUCAAAUUUAAUGAGGACUGAAAUUGCUUAUUGCUCUGGGUCCUGGCUAAUUCUCUUUCUCGUUUUUCCAACCUUCUUCUCUCUCCCUCCCAUUCCCCCUCUCUCUUUCUCUGUCUAUUUUCGUUUAUUGAGAAUGGGUCCAGUGUUACUUGGCAGGUCAGUAAUGUAGCCAAAACAAAACAAGACAAAAAAAACCAGAAACAAAGCAAACCAUAAAAUUUUCUCCCUCUCCAAAAUGUAAAAAUAAAUGUACAAGUCUACUCUAUAGAUGGAGUAACAAAUUUGACUUACUUUCCUCUAUUUAAAAAAAAUGAAUCUGAUGAAAUAAUAAGUUAACAUUUGUUUUAGAUGCUGGCAAACAGGUAGCACAGGGCUGUGUGAGCGAAAACAAGAUGAGAAGCACCAUAGUCUGCUGGCAGUUAUCAGGUAAUACUGAUAGUAUUAAUAGUGGGAGCCUGUUACUAACUACCAGGGACUGAGACAGACAUCAUAGUUCUUGGAAGCUAAGGUGGUCAGGAUCGUUGGCUUUCUGAGUACUGGAUGACAAGCAUGCCUUGACAUGCCCAUCUAGGCUUCACUAUUUAAUUUUGUCAUUUCUUGGUGCCAUAUGAUGGAAUCUUAUGAUAUAGCUGUCUGCAUCACUGUAUCUUUUAUUUAUUUUUUAAAAAUAAAUUAGCUUAAUCUUUUGCUCCUUAAAAUAAUAAAUAAAUAAAAUAAAAU
rnacentral:lncRNA from 1 species